AAAGGUGAAAUUAAAAUUAUUCUUAUUAAUCUAUAACUUAAAUUGAAGCUAAAGAUUAUUAGAUUUAAACUAGGAUUAGAUACCCUAUUAUACUAAUAAAUAAAUAAACCUAAAUUACUAAUAGGUAUAAUCUUUAAAUUUGGAGAAUUUGGCGGUAAUUUAGUCUUGUCAGAGGAACCUGUUUUAGAUAAUCGAUACACCACGUAUAAUCUUACUUAAGUUUAUAUACCGUCAUUGUCAGAUGAUUUUUAAAAAAUUAAUAAUUAUUAAAGUUUAUGAAAUUAAUAAAUUAAAUUAGAUCAAGGUGUAGCUUAUAAAUAAGUUAAAAUGGGUUACAAUAAAAUUUAUUUAUUAUGAAAUAAUUAUUAGGAAGGAGGAUUUGAUUGUAUAAUAUUUUAAUAAGUUAAAAAGAUAUAAGCUC
rnacentral:rRNA from 1 species